rnacentral:tRNA from 1 species
UCUGUAGCUCAGUCGGUAGAGCAAGGGACUGAAAAUCCCUGUGUCGGCGGUUCGAUUCCACCCG